rnacentral:rRNA from 1 species
GUCGAACGUGAAAGCACUUCGGUGUGAGUAGAGUGGCGGACGGGUGAGUAACGCGUGGGAAUCUACCCAGUAGUGGGGGACAACUACCGGAAACGGUAGCUAAUACCGCAUACGCCCUAUGGGGGAAAGGCUUCGGCCGCUAUUGGAUGAGCCCGCGUCAGAUUAGCUAGUUGGUAGGGUAAAGGCCUACCAAGGCAACGAUCUGUAGCUGGUCUGAGAGGACGAACAGCCACACUGGGACUGAGACACGGCCCAGACUCCUACGGGAGGCAGCAGUGGGGAAUAUUGGACAAUGGGCGAAAGCCUGAUCCAGCAAUGCCGCGUGUGUGAAGAAGGCCUGCGGGUUGUAAAGCACUUUCAGUUGGGAAGAUGAUGACGUUACCAACAGAAGAAGCACCGGCUAAAUCCGUGCCAGCAGCCGCGGUAAUACGGAUGGUGCGAGCGUUAAUCGGAAUUACUGGGCGUAAAGCGCGCGUAGGCGGCUAAGUCAGUCAGAAGUGAAAGCCCCGGGCUCAACCUGGGAAUUGCUUUUGAUACUGCUUGGCUAGAGUUUGGUAGAGGAUAGUGGAAUUCCAGGUGUAGCGGUGAAAUGCGUAGAUAUCUGGAGGAACAUCAGUGGCGAAGGCGACUGUCUGGACCAAAACUGACGCUGAGGUGCGAAAGCGUGGGUAGCAAACAGGAUUAGAUACCCUGGUAGUCCACGCCGUAAACGAUGUCAACUAGCCGUCGGGUCUAUUUACAGACUUGGUGGCGCAGCUAGCGCGAUAAGUUGACCGCCUGGGGAGUACGGCCGCAAGGUUAAAACUCAAAGGAAUUGACGGGGGCCCGCACAAGCGGUGGAGCAUGUGGUUUAAUUCGAUGC